UUAGCCAUCUCAAUUGGCGAUCGGAGGGCAAUUAGCGAAGCCGUCAGGGCAUGCUUUUUCUGGAGCUCUAGGACUUUUAGAUUCUCAAUAGUGGCUCGGGGCACUGCCCCUUUGCUCCCGAUUACCACCGGUAGAACUCUCCUCUCUUU